UACGUAGGGUGCGAGCGUUGUCCGGAAUUAUUGGGCGUAAAGGGCUCGUAGGCGGUUUGUCACGUCGAUUGUGAAAACCCGCGGCUCAACCGCGGGCCUGCAGUCGAUACGGGCAGGCUAGAGUUCGGUAGGGGGAGACUGGAAUUCCUGGUGUAGCGGUGAAAUGCGCAGAUAUCAGGAGGAACACCGAUGGCGAAGGCAGGUCUCUGGGCCGAUACUGACGCUGAGGAGCGAAAGCGUGGGGAGCGAACAGG
rnacentral:rRNA from 1 species